rnacentral:rRNA from 1 species
UAGGGAAUCUUCCACAAUGGACGAAAGUCUGAUGGAGCAACGCCGCGUGAGUGAAGAAGGUUUUCGGAUCGUAAAGCUCUGUUGUUGGUGAAGAAGGAUAGAGGCAGUAACUGGUCUUUAUUUGACGGUAAUCAACCAGAAAGUCACGGCUAACUCGUGCCAC